rnacentral:ncRNA from 1 species
UCCACCGGGAGGUGGAAUCUGAAAGAAACCCUAGGCAAAAUCUCGGUCUGAGGAACACGAACCUCAUAGAAGGUUUCUUGAAACGGACGAGUUUGCAUAACAAAACAAAGUCCAACACUACCCGAAUUCCAAGGAGUAAAUGAGGCAGAUAGAUGAGAUGAAGGUUAUCCUU